AGACACCAUCUCUAAAAAAAAAUUUGUCACAGCCCAAGGUGAUUAUUUCAAGGAAAAUUUUGCUUAGUGUUUACAUCCUGAAUUAGUCAUUAAAACAAAAACUUAGACUCAUUGCUUUUUAGUCAGAGCUCUUAUAUUGUAAGAAAUUGGUUCAGAAGCUAAGAGAAAAUCAGUUCUCCCAGGAAAACCUCAGAGGAAUUUUGGAAAACCAGCAACUUCUCUGAGAGGCAGGAAGUGCUGUGAGCCAAUGACAGAGAUGCCUGGUGACCUCACCUCUUAAGGGUGUGAUCAGCCAGUACCCAAAUCCUCUAGUCCCAGUGGAUUUCUUCUUGACAUUUUUUUACUCACAGCUAUUCUCAGCAUCUUGUUACCUAAAGCACAUCGAACUGGAGCCUGUUGCUUGUGUGUAAUUAUUACAUUGUUGACUAGAGUAGAUGGUCUGCAGCCUUUCUUAAUAGAAUUGGAAGAUGUUCCUUGAUUUCCCUCUGCUAGUCUACAGAGGAUCGUCUCAACCUUCUGUGAACUCCUUCCCCACGUCCAUCCCACUACAUACAGACCACACCAUCUCUUCCAAGUGACAUUGCUUCAUAUUGCAAAGAGAAUAUUGGUAGUAUGUUUUAGCGAUUCUGACCUCAAUUCCAUGGUUAAUUACAGUUGCACCAUCUCUCAGGCAGGGUUGAGAAUCACAUUGAUGGUUUGCUGCUGUCAAUUGUAAAGUAAAAUAUGGCCGUGGAUUUGUUCAUGAACUGCUGAUAUUGCGAACAUCCGUGAUGGUGAAGCAUUGAUGUGUACCCAAAUGCUGCUGGAAGAACGUAU
rnacentral:lncRNA from 1 species